UGGGGAAUAUUGCACAAUGGGCGAAAGCCUGAUGCAGCAACGCCGCGUGAGUGAUGAAGGCCUUCGGGUUGUAAAGCUCUGUCUUUUGGGACGAUAAUGACGGUACCAAAGGAGGAAGCCACGGCUAACUACGUGCCAGCAGCCGCGGUAAUACGUAGGUGGCAAGCGUUGUCCGGAUUUACUGGGCGUAAAGGAUGCGUAGGCGGAUUUCUAAGUGAGAUGUGAAAUACCCGGGCUUAACUUGGGUGCUGCAUUUCAAACUGGGAAUCUAGAGUGCGGGAGAGGAGAAUGGAAUUCCUAGUGUAGCGGUGAAAUGCGUAGAGAUUAGGAAGAACACCAGUGGCGAAGGCGAUUCUCUGGACCGUAACUGACGCUGAGGCAUGAAAGCGUGGGUAGCAAACAGGAUUAGAUACCCUGGUAGUCCACGCCGUAAACGAUGAGUACUAGGUGUAGGAGGUAUCGACCCCUUCUGUGCCGCAGUUAACACAAUAAGUACUCCGCCUGGGAAGUACGAUCGCAAGAUUAAAA
rnacentral:rRNA from 1 species